UCAGUAAAUAAGGAGCAUCUUUUAGUGCAUUUUCUUUAGUUGUUACCAGAAUGCUUAUAAAGGAGUAGAGUUUAUCUUUUGUCAAAUUCUGGUCUUAGAACCUUUGGGAGAGAUUAAGCUCUUGAAUCACUAGCAAGUAAGUAUUAGGUUAUUUUUGUUUAUUUUGGUCUUAAUUUGAGUGUUUAAUCAAUCUAGUGAAACUCUUGUUAUCUGUUGUUAUUUCCUGAUUUCAUCCUCUCAUUUCAACACUUCACUUGAACACUAAUACACCGGAAUUAAAGCCUCACUCCCGAUACACCAAGAGAAUCCAACAUGUGAACAAUCUAACUUUUUUUUUUCCUUUAGACUUAUUUUGACUUUUUUCCUCAAUUCCCACACACUAAAGAAGUCGCUCACGCUGCUACUUGUUCUUCUUCUCAAUCGCACCUAAUUUUUUCAUUCUUUGACAUUUUGACUUCUGUUUUUGAUGUUUUCGACUCUCGGUGGCAGUUUCAACCUUCUUCCAACAGGUUUAAUGUAUAUCUUUAUAAAUUAGGGUAGUAAAAGUUUUACAUAGACAUAGCGGGUAAACGAGCAACAAGCUAUACCGCAACCCUUUUUUUGGAUAGCAAAACUAAUUCUUUUAAAACCAACAUCCAUAGAUCUUGGAGUCAUAACAUUACUAUGCAUGACCUGUUGGACUCUAUUGAGGAGCUCCACAGCAUCUGGUGCAAGGAAACCGAAAGUAUCAAAUGCAAAAGGUAUAAACGUGUGUUGAUUUUCCACGCACGUUUUCUCAUGUUCUGCCACUUUGCAUGAUAAGCAGCUUGCCCCACAAUGAAAACCACACUCCCCAACCUACAAGAGGGGAAACCCCUGUUAGAUCCACACAUGCAUUCUUCCCUCCGGCCCAUCCAAAAAAUAUAACAUCGCUGGUCUAAAUGUUGAUCUUCCUUUCAAUGAGUCGGUCAGGUCAGAAAGUUCACAGGUGCCUUUUUCUUGGCAAAAACCAUGCCGCGCCUAAAUAUAUUGAUGGUAAAAGGGACCUUGACGACUUAAGUGAUGAUGAGUAAUGGGAGAUUCGAAAAGAGUUUUGGGAUAUGCAAGGGGUAGUUUGACACAUCAAGGUUGUCAUUUUUAUAUGGUGGUGAGAAGGUUGUUCUUCGAGGCGAUUAAGAAUUUAGUCAACCCCUAGUUUGUUUUUGUUCAUUAGUUCGAUCUCUACGAAUGAGGGUUUUCUCGUGGAAUUAGCCAAAGCAAAGGGAACUAUAAUUCAUUGAUACAAACACAUUCCAUGUACAUAAGUCAAACUAGAAGAGUGGUCAAGUCACGUGCAUAAAGAUUUGGUCAUAUUCAAUCGCCAUUAAAAGUUUAUUGCAUUAGUUUAGGACUCACGAUUUAAUUCCAGUAUGCAUGUUUCCCUUAAUUUUAGUUAGCAAGUAGUUUCAAAUUUCUAUAAAUUGUAACCUGCAUUUUGAUUAAGAAUUAAGCAGAAAAUUGUCUCAAUAUUGUCUUGUUUAUCUAUCUCUCAUCUCUAGUUUCUGAACUAACAAAGGCCAUUACGAGUUUUUGUUAUGCCCUUCAGGCUAACCAACGUGUUGGCGAGUGGAGACUGGAGACCUUUCAAUCAUUGAUAAAGAAGGAUUGUGUGGAGUACUUGGGUCAUAUUGUAUCUUGUGAGGGGGUCAUGGUGAAUGUAAAUCCAUCCAAAACCCUAAACCCUAAACCCUAAACUAUUCAGGACACCGGGGAACGUUUCUCGAAAAAAACACGACCUAUCAUAUCCAUAAAUGGAUAGACACACCGAGUUUGUGAAUUAAAGUGUUGAAGUGUAUGUGCAAUGCUUAAUGGUGUGUUAAGUAGUUACCAUGGGUCGAGAUGGAGGUCAACGAGAAAUAAAUCAUAAGGGCAAAUGGGUCAAUGUUUAUUAGAGGCGUAGAUGGAAAUAGGAGGGAGAAAUAAAUUGCAAAAAUAACGGGAGUUUGAUGAUCGUUUCCUUGUCUGCGUAUUACCUAUUUUAUGUUUAUCUUUCCUAGUUUAUGUUUAUCUAAUAAGUUAAGUUUCUUAUCACCAAGAUAUCCAUAAAUAAAAUUGCUAGGGGGGACUAGAAGGCAUAAAAAAAACUAGAAUUGGAAUAGGAUUGAGAUAUCUCUUUAAUGAUCUUUUAAGCUAUAUAACUUUAAAGGUAUUUUCCUAUCUUGUACUAUAAAUAGAGAAUCCAAUGUACCAUUUUAAAUAUAGAAAAAAAAAAAACAUUCUUUCUACUUAUAUAAUAUCAUUAUGUUAAAAAGAAAGUGGUAAACUAUGUCCAUCACACACAUUUCCAAACAAUAUCUAUGAGUGGUUGAGAAUACAAAUUGAUUAUUUACUCAGGGAAAAAAUAUAUAUAUAAAAUAUAAAAUGAGCAAUUUGGCCAUAAGUUUCAUGUCGAUAAAAGUGAUAGUUAGUACAACUUCCAUUCGUUUCCUUAUCUUACAUCCUAAUGACAUCCGAGUUUUAACUUUUAAUACUAUAAACACCAUUUGAUUGUCAAGGUUUAGAAAGGCCAUAUUGUUCACACAUGUUGCAAUUAAUAAUAAACAUUCCCACUAUUUUAAUAACUCAGUCUCCAUCUUUGAGGUUCCUUGAUAGGCUGAUAUUUUGCAUUUUAAUAUAAAAAGACUUUUAUAACUUUUGACUCAAGGAUUGCAAGAACCAAUCAAAAUAAAUAAAUAAAAAAAGAUAUAGGUAGAAGUUAUUAGUUAUACUUAUACCAAGUGGAGGUGGUUUCCCAGUGACUUGUGUAAACCUUUGAGAAAAUGUGCUUUUGUCUGAUGCUACAACUCCAUUAAACAUUCCAAGAUCUUGUCCAUUCACAUCUGUUAAACUCCAUGAAUCCUCAUUCUCCAACCACUCCAAUCUCCCAACCAUAACCCCAAAUUUACUCUCUAUACCUGAUUAAAAAAAAAGUCAAGUAAGAUACCUUUUUAUUAUUAAUAUAUAUUAUACUUCAAUAAAGUUUCCAAUACCAGGUUCUUGGCAUAAAGCUCUGCAUAUAGAAUUCAUUCCAGGGAUGCCCACAUAUUUCUUGCUUAAUCCUUCCUAAAAUGAACAGAGAAAAUAGUCUAUAAUGUUAAAGAAAAUCAGUAACUUUUAAGCAUGUUAUUAAUUCAAUCAAUCAAUGAACAUGUCAACAUGAAAAUUUAGGGAAUGUCAUGUGGGAAUAACUUUUUGUAUUAUAAUAUCACUAAAAGUUUUCAAAUUCAAAUGUAUAUAAAAUACAUAUAGAUUUUGCUCGUGAUUCUUGUAAGCAUGUGGAUGAAGAUAUAUACAAAAGAACAAUUCAGGCAUAUAAUACUUCAAACAGCUAAUAUACCGAUUUAAAAACUCAAAAUAGGACGACAAACAGCUAUGUGGCCAAGUUGCAAUAAUAAACUAUGAUGAAGAUGAAGAAUGAGUAAACCUUUUCGAAGUUGACAAAUUUUUUAGUAUUGAAAUCAAAUGACCCAAAAUUCUGUUUCCAUUCAGCGACAAGACCCCUUGCUUCCCAACCCCUAAUCAUCUCCUCCACGUCGUUGUUUGUUGAAGUAAAAUAAGGUGC